AUGCACACAAAAAUACAAGCACCAACAGCAGCUGCUGUGAGUGGGGGUGCAGGCAUCGAGGCAGUGAAUGAUGAUGCUACUUCUGGAAAUGAGACUGGGAACAGACACACUGGUUUAUUGGCGCCGAAGAAAUGGAAAGAAAUGGGGCGCCCAACAACCAGCCGGGAGAAGGCACCGUACGAGGGACUCAGCAAGCGGACAAUGUUCUGCAGCAUAUGUCGGCAGCAGGGGCACAAGAGGACUACAUGCCUGGACCGGGGAGAUGCCCCGAAGCCUGUUUGUAAACCAGCAAGGUGCAAGAAUUGUGGGAUUGAAGGUCACAGACGGAACAACUGCCAGAAAUUGGGUGAUUUACGGAUGAUUGGCUUAAUUAUAGGUACCACCAUUUCUGAGCACUAUGGUGGUGUGUAUGCUUCUGAAUUUUUGGGCAAUAAGUUGGAGUUCAUAAUUGGAAAAUAUAAUAAAAAUGUACUGAGGUAUCUGAUGCAUCUGAAAAGUUCACUCAACCAGCCUGACGGAGGAGAACUAGCUGCUAGUUCAUCAAGGAGUGUCUGCAGUGGUUGGGCAGCGGACGGCGCGUGCAAACGAGGAACUGCAAGCGGAGAAGAUAGGGGAUGGAUGUAUAUCGCGAGGAAGAAGAUGGGUAGACUGGUGGUGGGUGCUGGUCCACAAUAA
rnacentral:rRNA from 1 species